UUGGGGUGGCGGCCGGCGGCCUGAAUUCCUCCUUCCUCGUGUUCCUGUGUUGCGCUUGCGGGAAUGACCGUCGCUAGUCCCCGGGGUGUGGAGUCUUUGGGGCAGCGACAGUUGGACAUCAGGGGACUGUCCAUGUGGACACCUGCGGGCUCUCCAGGGUCCGCCACACUGAAACCCCAGCGCUGCCUGAGCAGACUCCUACCGCAAGGGCAACCACCUCAGGAAAGCUGAAUUUUGAUUGAAUGACUUAACAAAACUCUACCUCUCAACCAUGUCAGAAGAAACAUAUCUGGCCAGUGAGAUAGAAGUCUGCUGGGUAUUUCUGGCUCAGAGCAUUUAAUUGCCAUUGCAAGACUCACCAAAGCCAUCUUUUCCCACUGGAAUGAGGAUUGGCAACCUUCAAGAUGGUGACUGCGACAGCAGCCUGGGUCUUCAAGUAAGAAACCAUGGAGCAUAUUGUCAUAGCAAUGUAAUAGGACAGAUGGUGGCUAUACUUGCAGUGAACACAGAAAAAUGUAUAAAUGUGUCAAAUUACUAUGUUGUAUACCUGAAACUAACAUAACAUUGUGUGUCAACCAGAAUCAAAUUAAAAAAAAAGAAAAGACAGUGUGGAGCCAAGCACCUAGCUGACCUGUGAUGGAUAUGAAAUAGCAAGAAAUAUUUUGUUUUUAAAGCCACUGAGAUUCUGAACUUAUUUGUUACCACAGGAGAAUCUUACCUAACCUGUCUAAUAUAGUGAGAAAGAGGCAAUUCUGCUGGGUUCAAAGAGAUGAAUUUGCUGAAUAUUACUCACAUUUAUACAAGAAUCAUGAUGUAGUGAAAAGAACAUGAUAGGAUGGUUGGAUGAGAGAGUGGGUGGAUGGGUAGAUACAAAAAUAUAUAAGAUGGUAGAA